AUUGCAACUUCAAGUUUUACAGUAGUUGCAUGGGAAUUUCCAUAUGCCACAGAUGUGGCCAAAAAAAAAAUAAAGUCUUGAUGGUGAGACUUACCAAACACAUUUUAUCUUUCUCCUCUCUCUCUCUUCCUUUUCCCACUUUGCCUAUCUCCUUGCGAUUCUUAAAUUCUCAAAAAGACUUUCACCUCACUCUUUCCACCUCUACUAAUUUAUUAAGAUGGGAUAUUUUCAUUCCAUUGGGAGCUACCUCUAGGCAUACAUUCAAAGGAUUUUUUCUUGUUGUCCAAGAUUCUCAUAGUCAAGUAUAUAUUAUUAUAUGACUCCACUUGACAAUUCUAGAUUCCUGUGUCUUCCAUCUUAGAAUUAUCUACAUUUUCUGAUUUACUUUCUGUAAUACCUAACUUCCUCUGGGCUACGUUAUCUACAGAUGUGGGAAAAAUAAAUAGAACUUUAAUGUGUCAAUACACUCCUGACGGUGCCUCUCCUUUCUUAUAUUCCCUUAGGAAAACCCCAAACAGAAACAUUAGGAAGAUUAUCCUUUUGAUUCCUCACUCCUUACAGGGGAUGGGUGAUCUGAAAUUAGUCCACCCCUCUUCCAGAGGACUAACAUUAACCAAGAACAUGUAAAAGACUAAUGUGAUAUAUUCACACUUAUCAUCAACAGGAUCAAGCUAUCUUUCUUAAGAAGCCACCUUCUGGAUUUAGAACCAGAAGACAGUCUAUUGGAAUAGACGUCAACCAAAAAAACUGCUCAUUCAUGGCUCAGCAGGUUAAUGAUCCAGUGUUGUUACUGCUGUGGCUCUGGUUACAAUUGUGGCAUGGGUUCAAAUAUCUAGCCCAGGAACUUUCACAUGCCAUGGGUGUGGCCAAAAACCAAACCAAAACAAAUAAACAAAAACUGCCCUGAAGCCCCACUGGAAAGUCAUCUAUCGGAUCCCACUAUCACUAUCAGGGUGGGCAAGCUACAAGGAAUGGGCCUUUUGUUCCUUGUGUCCCAGCUGAAGAGACAUCCACCUGUGAUUAACUCAGCUUCUGCUUUAACCAGAGUCACUAAAUUGAGGUUUCUCAAAACUUUUCUGAAGCACAUGAUGGCACAAAGGAGACAGCUUUUACGUAAAGAAUUGAAACAAGCAGAUGACAUCAGAUAGUGAGAAGCUUCGGCCCAAAACAGUGGAACAAAAACUGCCUCAAAUUUAGUAUCUCCCUGUUCAUCCUAACCUUGGAUUUGUACAUCUUUAAAAUUACCUCCAAGUGCUAAUCACAGAAAUGCAUCCUGUUCUUGCUCUAUUUCUACUCUCCUGCCCCUUCUCCUUUCUCCAUUCCUCAAUUUCAAAGUCUUUGGUAUUUAUUUAUUUAUUUAUUUUUUGGCUAACAUACUUAAUGAAGCUAAUAGCACCUGUGAUUUUUGCUCCUGCUUACUUUUUCCCAACAGUUCCAUUGCUUCUUUACAAAUACUGGUUCCCUAUCCAAGGUCUCUGCCAUUACCACUGCCAUUUGGCACAGGGCCCUGUCCAAAUCGAAUCUCCAACAAAUCUGAACACAUCCUACCCAGUCAGUAUGCCCUUGAAGAGGGAAAACUUGUUUUUUUCUUUAAAGAAAAUAUUUAGAAAAACUUAAGUCCGUGGGCCCGAACUACAACAAUGAAACCUGCCAGGUUAUUGGGCCAGCUAAAAGGAGUGGGUAUUGUUGAGCCAGCCCCAAUGCUAGCUUCACUCUGGCAAAAAACAACCAUAAAACUAUGAGUUUUUUCCCCACCCCCAGAGUGAUUAAUAUUUUAUUUGUGGGUUCAGUGCUUUAAUUUAAUUUAUUUAUUUAUUGCCAGCCAGUUGGGCAGGUUGUAUUGUGUUUGAACAAUUAUUGCCUUUUUAGCUCAGAGGUCAAAUCUUUGCUCCUCAACCAGAGGGGCAAUCUGUGUUUGGUGGUGAACACAUUCCUCUGUAAAAUAGCCAUUCUUACCAGAUGGUAGCGAGACAUGCAUGAAGAAACUAAAAGAUUUGGAAUAAACCUAGAUAGACUGGUCACUGCUUGGGAUGGGUUUUAUACUGCAGCUAUUCCUCAAGGACCAGCUCUCUUGACUACUGAAGAAGUUGGACAUGAUACUCUAUUAACAAAUAAGAAUUACAUACUUAUACCCAGACAACAGCUUAAGAUAUGAAACUAUAUAUUUUCAAAAUUGAAUUUACUACUUUCUCCUUUCAUUUGCAAGGUAAGUAUUUCCUUCCAACCAUUUAGAUAAGAGUUCAGCAGUCAGUUCUUCUGGUCUAAAGCUGUAUUGUUUAAGUAAGAAAUCCUAGUAAUAGAAAUUUUGAAUGUAGCAUACCAAUCAAAUAUAUUUCAAAACACAACUUCAUUAGUUUUUAUAAUCCUUUGCUAAGCGUACCAUUUAUUGAAUGCUAUUCAUUAGUCUUGUUUUAUUAGAUCAUAAGUCUAAGUUAUCAAAUAUUUUUAGCUAAACAACUACCUUAUGAAAAAAACUAAAUCAUUUAUACUGAACAGCAAUUUUUACUGCAAAUUGCUAAUGUGGAAUUCGAGACAGUUUUCCAUCAGCAAGAAAGAUGUAUUUAACAAUUUAAAAAGAAAAAAUAAACCUCCACAAAGAUGGCGUUAUUUUUUAAUCUACUUUUCUAGUCUUUUUUUUUUUUGUCUUUUUGCCUUUUCUAGGGCCGCUCCCACGGCAUAUGGAGGUUCCUAGGCUAGGGGUCGAAUUGGAGCUGUAGUCAUCGGCCUACUCCAGAGCCACAGCAACGCGGGAUCCGAGCUGCGUCUGCGACCAACACCACAGCUCAUGGCAAUGCCAGAGCCUUAACCCACUGAGCAAGGCCAGGGAUCGAACCCGCAAUCUCAUGGGCCCUAGUUGGAUUCAUUAACCACUUCGCCAUGAUGGGAACUCCUACUUUUCUAGUCUUUGGUCAAUAGCGUGGAUUUAGUAUAAGAUAGUGAGAAGGGAGAUUUUGCCCUUUAAAAAAAUUUACAUAGCAUAGUCUCUGUUCUUAUCUGUUCUUAUCCCCUUACUCUCUAGCUCCUUUCCUAAAAAAUCUAAUUUUAGGUCAAUGCAAAAUUUAUUUUUUGUAUUUUCCUUUGGUAUUUUCCAUUUCAUACUGUAGUAUCUGUGAACCUAUUCAUGAAAUAUUCUGGUAUUUGUGGCUAUUGGGAUCUUUCAUAUUUUUACCUUCUGUUCAUUUUUUACCAAACUUUUUACUAAAUAAGAAUUUUAAAAUCCAAAUUACAUUUCAUUCUGAAAUUACUGAGUAAUUAGUGAGGAAAAUCCAAAUACCACUAUUCUGAAAUAUAAUGCACUAGUGUCAUUUUGCACUGUUAACAGUAAAGAAAAAAUAUUAAAAACCGAUUU
rnacentral:lncRNA from 1 species